rnacentral:rRNA from 1 species
AACGAACGCUGGCGGCAGGCCUAACACAUGCAAGUCGAGCGCUCUAGCAAUAGAGAGCGGCGCACGGGGGAGUAACGCGUAGGAAUCUACCUUGUAGUACGGAACAACAGUUGGAAACGACUGCUAAUACCGUAUACGCCCUUCGGGGGAAAGAAUUUCGCUAUAAGAUGAGCCUGCGUUAGAUUAGCUAGUUGGUGAGGUAAUGGCUCACCAAGGCUCCGAUCUAUAGCUGGUCUGAGAGGAUGAUCAGCCACACUGGGACUGAGACACGGCCCAGACUCCUACGGGAUGCAGCAGUGGGGAAUAUUGGGCAAUGGGCGCAAGCCUGACCCAGCCAUGCCGCUUGAGUGAUGACGGCGUUAGGGUUGUAAAGCUCUUUUAGUGGUGAGGAUGAUGACGGUAACCACAGAAAAAGCCCCGGCUAACUUCGUGCCAGCCGCCGCCGUAA